UACGUAGGGUCCGAGCGUUUGUCCGGAAUUACUGGGCGUAAAGGGCUCGUAGGUGGUUUGUCGCGUUGUUCGUGAAAACUCACAGCUCAACUGUGGGCGUGCGGGCGAUACGGGCAGACUAGAGUACUGCAGGGGAGACUGGAAUUCCUGGUGUAGCGGUGGAAUGCGCAGAUAUCAGGAGGAACACCGGUGGCGAAGGCGGGUCUCUGGGCAGUAACUGACGCUGGAGGAGCGAAAGCGUGGGGAGCGAACAGG
rnacentral:rRNA from 1 species